ACCGUCAUAACACUCAACACCGCAUGCGUUUGAUUUGAAAGGCGCUUUCGGGUGUCGCUGAUGGAUGGACCCGCGGUGCAUUAGCUAGUUGGUGAGGUAACGGCUCACCAAGGCCACGAUGCAUAGCCGACCUGAGAGGGUGAUCGGCCACAUUGGGACUGAGACACGGCCCAAACUCCUACGGGAGGCAGCAGUAGGGAAUCUUCGGCAAUGGACGAAAGUCUGACCGAGCAACGCCGCGUGAGUGAAGAAGGUUUUCGGAUCGUAAAACUCUGUUGUUAGAGAAGAACAAGGAUGAGAGUAACUGUUCAUCCCUUGACGGUAUCUAACCAGAAAGCCACGGCUAACUACGUGCCAGCAGCCGCGGUAAUACGUAGGUGGCAAGCGUUGUCCGGAUUUAUUGGGCGUAAAGCGAGCGCAGGCGGUUUCUUAAGUCUGAUGUGAAAGCCCCCGGCUCAACCGGGGAGGGUCAUUGGAAACUGGGAGACUUGAGUGCAGAAGAGGAGAGUGGAAUUCCAUGUGUAGCGGUGA
rnacentral:rRNA from 1 species